rnacentral:rRNA from 1 species
ACGGAGGGUGCAAGCGUUAUCCGGAUUCACUGGGUUUAAAGGGUGCGUAGGUGGGCAGAUAAGUCAGUGGUGAAAUCUCUGGGCUUAACCCGGAAACUGCCAUUGAUACUAUUUGUCUUGAAUUCUCUGGAGGUAAGCGGAAUAUGUCAUGUAGCGGUGAAAUGCUUAGAUAUGACAUAGAACACCCAUUGCGAAGGCAGCUUACUACGGAGACAUUGACACUGAGGCACGAAAGCGUGGGGAUCAAACAGGAUUAGAUACCCUGGUAGUCCACGCCCUAAACGAUGAUUACUCGACAUUAGCGAUACUACUGUUAGUGUCUAAGCGAAAGCAUUAAGUAAUCCACCUGGGAAGUACGACCGCAAGGUUG